CCUANGGGUGGCUGCAGUAGGGAAUAUUGCACAAUGGACGAAAGUCUGAUGCAGCAACGCCGCGUGCACGAUGAAGGCCUUCGGGUCGUAAAGUGCUUUUCUGAGAGAUGAGAAAGGACAGUAUCUCAGGAAUAAGUCUCGGCUAACUACGUGCCAGCAGCCGCGGUAAAACGUAGGAGGCAAGCGUUAUCCGGAUUUACUGGGCGUAAAGCGCGUGUAGGCGGAUUGGUAAGUUGGAUGUGAAAGCUCCUGGCUCAACUGGGAGAGGUCGUUCAAAACUGCCAGACUAGAGAGUGGUAGAGGAAGGUGGAAUUCCCGGUGUAGUGGUGAAAUGCGUAGAUAUCGGGAGGAACACCAGUGGCGAAAGCGGCCUUCUGGACCAUUUCUGACGCUCAGACGCGAAAGCUAGGGUAGCAAACGGGAUUAGAUACCCUUNUANUC
rnacentral:rRNA from 1 species